rnacentral:rRNA from 1 species
CGGGUGAGUAACACGUAUGCAAUCCACCUGUAACAGGGGGAUAACCCGGAGAAAUCCGGACUAAUACCCCAUAAUAUGGGCGCUCCGCAUGGAGAGUCCAUUAAAGAGAGCAAUCUUGAUUACAGACGAGCAUGCGCUCCAUUAGCCAGUUGGCGGGGUAACGGCCCACCAAGGCGACGAUGGAUAGGGGUUCUGAGAGGAAGGUCCCCCACAUUGGAACUGAGACACGGUCCAA